UUUUUCUCCUUUUGUGCCAAUAUAUUCAUAUAUUUUUUUUGCCCCAAAACCUUCACUGAGACGGCAGGAAUUGCUGUUGUGGUUCCUCGUUAUUUAAACUCCAUGAAAUUAAAGUUCCCCGAUUUGCUGCUGGACAAGUUUUAAAAAGCUGUGGUACGAAGUGGAGAAGACGUGGGAGGUUCUUCAUGGACACAGUUGCUUUUAAAGAUGUGUUACCUUUCCCACGUGGUCACGUGGAUGUUUCCCCAGGUCUUACUGAACGCCGUCGACCCGCUCAUUGCACUUAACCAGUUUGUUGAUUCAGAAAUGUUUAUUGUGUUUCAUCACCUUUCCCCCACCUUCUAAUUUUAUUUGUCUUUUACCUUUUUCGUCGGUCAGAGCAGCAGACCCUAAAUUCCCCCCCAAAACGCCCCACGCUCCCCUUGAGACUCACUGACUGAACCGAGCGGUCGCCCUGUAUGGCGGCGUUUCCUCCGCUACCGUCCACCCGUUUGUUCCUGGAAACGGACCAAUGGCGAAAAUACUUUUAUUGUGUGGAGUAAACACCCGGGGGGGGGGUGGGGGCGUCCGUGUGCCGUCGGGUGUCGGGUUUUUUUUCGCACCUGUGGCGUUGACGUCAUCUGAGUGGGGAUGUCGGGGUUUCCGGGACAGAAGACGCGGUGGAAGAUGGAAGGUACGAGUGUCCCCCCCCCACCCCCACUCCUACUAGACUCUGAGAACGAGGCAGGGGGGAGAGUUUCUGCCACUUGGAUGAAGAAGAGCAAGGAAAACCCUUUUUUUUCCCGUUUGGAUGCCCUCUUUACUUCAUGUUUGCCUUUUAUCGUGAAAUUCAGUAAUAUCAUUAAUAUUGAAAUUUAAAUAUAUCAAUUUUUAUCUUGUGUAUAGGUAUUUGUUGAAUUUUACUGUGGGUGGGUGGGUGAGUGUGUGUGUGUGUGUGUCUGAGGGUGUGUGAUGCAUGUGGCAUACUGGAUGAGGACGGCUGAGGAUAUGUGGUCUUUGAGAGGAAAAUAAGAAAAAAGAAGUGCCGCGAGUGUCGACGGGCUGCGGUUCCUUCAAAAACAGUCGGAAACCUUUUGAUUCCUUCCAUUGAGUGUCCUUGGGUUUGUGUUUUUGUCAAUCAAUGUCACUGCUAUGAAGUCUAGCCCAGUAUGAUUAAAUGUAAAAAAAUAAAUAAAAAAAACCUAAAAUGCAAUGUGGUCUACAUGAAAGCGUGUAUUAUAAAUUAAUAAAUCUUUAAAUAAGGCGACGUCCCUGGAUCCCCUUUUUCUAUUUCUUUAAUAAAUAAUCUGUAGGAACUAAAUACCCUUUGCAACAUACGUGUAGUUUACUUUGUCUCCCUGUAGGUGGCACCGCAUGGUGGGGCUGAUGGAGUCGAUGGGAGGAGGAGAUACCGUUUCAUUUUGGCUCAACCUGAUGCACUGGGACGAGUUAAACUGAUCUUCAGCAGCUUUCCUCAGGAAUCCGCUCCUGACGUGUAGCUGCAAGAAGUCCAGGUUUCCAGUUGACGCUGGCAGAGCGGCUCAGGAAAAGUGCCGUCAACCCACGUCUGUCAACGUGCUGCACCUCCAGAACCUGCUGC
ensembl:lncRNA